UCCUUGUACCGUUCAUCUAUUGGCAGAAAGCAGGUCUGAUUUCACUCUGGACUUCCAGCCCCUUGAGCGGUGAGUGGGGGAAUGAAUAAAUGACUGAAUUGGCCUUCUCAUUGCCGUGUGCUUUGGGUCUGAGAGUAGCCCCAGCUGUGAACUCUGAUUGAGAUAAGCCAGUCGUGGUUCCCCGUGUGCCUUGACCGUCUCUGGCUCAGUGCUGACCUAUGACUUUGUCUAAGCCCAUGAGAAAUGCAGGUGGUGCUGGUGGAUCAUUCCCUAACGUACUCAAGCUGUUAUUUGACCUGAAAACAGCUACAUUUCUUGCUUCAAUUAACUUACCUAUGUUAAUAAGAACAGUUCCAACUACCGCAAGAACAAUUUAUGGUUUAUGAUUGUUCCUUAAGUAUUGAGACUCACCAACCAUGCCCCUACGUACCUGGCAACACCUCCAUGUAUCCCUUUUGAGAGCAGUUUACAAUCAUUAGUGAUGAUUAUUGAGAAACAGCCCUGGGCCCCAUUCUAUUUUCCUAUGACAAAAUAGAAUUUUGAAAACAGAUCUCGAUGGUGAGCCAGUGCUGUCCCCACUCCACGUUUCCUGUGAGGUGGGGGAGGGGAGGGAUC
rnacentral:lncRNA from 1 species